rnacentral:lncRNA from 10 species
CCAUGGAUACACCCCAACGACCACUAUACUUUAUUCUCACACUACUCCUGGUGAGAACUAAUACAAGUUUAUGAAAGAAGGAGGCCUUCUUGGGAGGGGAUACGCAUUUAAUGCUAGCCAGCAACAGCACAGGAAGUUCAGUUUUCAAGCUCAGCCAUUUAAACUAUUUUAUUCUGUCCAAACAGUUCCAUAUGCAUUGGGUUAGACUGCACCAUAUGAAACAGCCUAUUUUCAACCGUGAUUGGCUUACAAAGAGGCAAAUCAUAGUAGAAACUGCAUUGCUUUCAGAAUGACUUGGUAGAAGAAACAUGGAGAUCAGAUUGUGGGGUUCUGAAUUCAGCUCUCAACACUGAAAAUCACUUUCAUUGACUCAUUCAAUAAAUAUUUAGCUUACAUCAUACGCAAGACUGUGAGGAAUACUAAGAUGUGUGAAAUACAGUUGCUGCCUUCUUCAGGCCCACAGCUUACUUGGGGAGAUAAAAUUCACCAACAAAACACUACAAUCCAAGGCAGAGUAUGAUGGCACCAAAGUCGCCCAUUUUUUUAAUUAACUGCAUUUCGAGCAAGAGAAAUUACUUCCUGCUGUAAUAAUCAGGAAGGCAAUAUAGAAGACAGGACAGUUGAGCUUCGGAUUAAAGGAUGAUUAAGUUUCAUUAAGCAGAGAGUGGGGAGUCGGGUGAUGAUCAGAUGCCUGUUAGUUUUGGAGGCUUUUCUCUGAGCUCCACUAUAUCAUAUAGCCCAAAAUUAUUUGGAUCCACUUUGGGGCAACUGCUUGGCCUAGAAUGUUCCCCAAGUGCUUUUUUUUUUUUUUUUUUAAAGAAAUGAAUUGGCUGUAUUUCACAGAGUAGAGUUAGUGUUUUUAAAAGUCUGAAAAAUGAUAUCCAGAUGUUCAACACAAAGUUGGGGGGUGGGGGCUUUCCUCCAAUUCCAAGCCUGCCACAGUGAUUCUUAUUUUGGUUCCUCCCAUCUGGACAGCUGCCCCGAGCUCUCUGGGGGGCUACCUUAGGAGACCGCCCGGGAGCUCCAACUGGCCCCAAACCUAAAGAAGGAAGGCGGGCCAUCUGGAAUGCAUCGUCCAGAUCGGCUCCACGCUGCCCAGGCACCCUGACAGCUUUUUGGGACUGUGCGAAGCUUGGAUUUAAUCCAUCAGGCUCUCUCUCCAGUCGGAGGCCUCCAGACUUCUCUUUGUCUCCUUCCAGCAUUUGGAUUCCAUAGAGGCAUAAUUAGACCUGCUAGUCACUUCCAAGUUUGUCUUUCUCAGGAAAAGGACCAAGGUGUACUCUGAGAGACACUGUCCAGCAGCCCUUGGGCUGGGAACAAAGGAAGGGGAAUGGUUUAGGCAAGAACGUUCUCGCCACCUCCUUUUAUUCCCACUGCAACAUCUCAACCAUCCACUUCAGUCCAAUGAUCGACGCUUAUUUGGAAAGGAGAAAGAAAAUUCGUCCAGGAUACUGUGGGGAGCCUUACAAAAAAUGGCAACCUGACUUUCCAUAUCAUUUCCACACCAUGGAAGGCCUGGCUGGGAGAAAUAAAGGGAUGAAAGUUAUGGGAGAGAAAGGGGUUAGGAAGAAAUUUAGAACUGUCCUCAAACCAAAUUUCAAAAAAGGAUUGAGGGUUUCACAUUUUAAAAACCCAUACAUUCCUGUAAACUAUUGAUGGAUUUAUUGCAAAUUAUUUUUCUAGGGCAAUAAACACUUUGUUAGUAUGGGAAAAGUACUGACCUGUUCCUUUACAAAAUCUAAACCUUCUCCCUCUCACUUUGUUUCUACUUCUGAUUUGUUUCUUCAUAGACAAGACAAAAGAUUAUUUCCCCCAAACUUCUGACCAAGGAAGCACAGAUUCCAAGUUAAUUGG